ACGAACGCUGGGCGUGCUUAACACAUGCAAGUCGAACGAAGAGCGAUGGAAGCUUGCUUCUAUCAAUCUUAGUGGCGAACGGGUGAGUAACGCGUAAUCAACCUGCCCUUCAGAGGGGGACAACAGUUGGAAACGACUGCUAAUACCGCAUACGAUCUAAUCUCGGCAUCGAGGAUAGAUGAAAGGUGGCCUCUACAUGUAAGCUAUCACUGAAGGAGGGGAUUGCGUCUGAUUAGCUAGUUGGAGGGGUAACGGCCCACCAAGGCGAUGAUCAGUAGCCGGUCUGAGAGGAUGAACGGCCACAUUGGGACUGAGACACGGCCCAGACUCCUACGGGAGGCAGCAGUGGGGAAUCUUCCGCAAUGGACGAAAGUCUGACGGAGCAACGCCGCGUGAGUGAUGACGGCCUUCGGGUUGUAAAGCUCUGUUAAUCGGGACGAAAGGCCUUCUUGCGAAUAGUGAGAAGGAUUGACGGUACCGGAAUAGAAAGCCACGGCUAACUACGUG
rnacentral:rRNA from 1 species